rnacentral:rRNA from 1 species
UACAGAGGGGGCAAGCGUUGUUCGGAAUUACUGGGCGUAAAGGGCGCGUAGGCGGCCUUUUAAGUCGAACGUGAAAUCCCCGGGCUCAACCCGGGAACUGCGUCCGAUACUGGCAGGCUUGAAUCCGGGAGAGGGAUGUGGAAUUCCAGGUGUAGCGGUGAAAUGCGUAGAUAUCUGGAGGAACACCGGUGGCGAAGGCGGCAUCCUGGACCGGUAUUGACGCUGAGGCGCGAAAGCCAGGGGAGCAAACGGG